AUGGAAAUGAGAAUCCUUGGGCUCCUGUUGCUCUUGUUUCAAGGUACCAGAUGUGACAUCCAGAUGACCCAGUCUCCAUCCACCCUGCCUGCAUCUCUGGGAGAGAGAGUCACUAUCAAUUGCAGAGCAAGUCAGGGUAUUAGCAAUAAUUUAAAUUGGUAUCAGCAGAAACCAGAUGGAACUAUUAAACGCCUGAUCUACUACACAUCCAAUUUACAAUCUGGUGUCCCAUCAAGGUUCAGUGGCAAAGGGUCAGGGACAGAUUAUUCUCUCACCAUCAGCAGCCUGGAGCCUGAAGAUUUUGCAGAUUAUUACUGUGUACAGUAUGCUGCUUUUCCUCCCACAGUGAUAUAA